rnacentral:lncRNA from 1 species
UUCCUAUGUCAAAAAUGGGUCUCAAAUGAGACUAAAAAUAUGAAGUAUACUUUAGUCAUCCAAUAUUCAUGUCUUAAUGCCACUAAGGUGUCUAGAAUUAUUUGGUGUUCUACAGAAGAUAUUACACACACUCUUUCCAAACCCUUUACACCUUAUUUAUCUAUUUACCUCUACAGUGAAGAAGUGUGAUUUUCAACUAAUAAAAUGUAAAAAAAUGUUUCUAGCUUAUUACAAUUAAUCAAAGUAAGAUGACACCGUUUUGAUAAGUUGCCACGACACCAUUUUUGAAUUUAAAACCAGUCAAAUCUGUUGCCUUCUUGUACCUCUUCUAGUUCUGGUUUUCCUAAUUCUUUUUCUCCCAAUUAUUUUCCACAUGACAAUCCUCCCUCUCAUCUUGAUCUUGUUCCCAAAAUCUACAGGUCUAAAACUAGGAUUGAAUCCAUUCAACGUCCUCCCAGGUUGCACUCUUUAGGGAAAAUCAGACCAAUUGAUAAGCCAUUGUACUGCCAUAUGGUUCCUGAGCUUCACCAAACUGGAUUGCAAGACUACUAGGGGAUAAUGCGCUAACUGUAGUGACUGCUUUUUCUUCAGGUAGUUGUUCAACCGACACAGUGUUGUCACCAAGCUUUUUCUUCAAUAGUGAUACAUGGAAAACUGAAUGAAAUUUUGAAUCUUCCAGUAGUGCUAAUUGAUAUGCCACAACUCCUAUCUUCUUAAGGAUUUGAUAAGGACUGAAAUAUCUAGCUUUGAGCUUAUGAUUAAGGGUGUAGCUUGAGGAAAACCUAAUCAUCCACUUCAAAAGACCCUGCUCCCCUAUUUUUGUCUGCAUAAAGUUUUAUCCUAGCCAUGGCCUAAGACAUGUUCUCCUUUAACUAUUGGUUUAAUUUGUAUCUCUGCAUCUCAACCACCAGCCUCUUUAUUUCUAUUUUCUGACUGAAAGAGCAUCUAUAAGGUCUCAUUCUAAAUGUUUGUGCUCCCUCCUUCAAGGAGAUGUGAUGAUCGCGUGAUUUGGGAGGAGGUAACUCUGUUUGCUCGUCAAAUACCCUAGGAACUUUGUGUAUGACCUCCAAAAUCUGGCCAUGUGUAUCCAUAGUUUGUCCCUCCUCGAUAUGGUACAAUUGCCCCACUAUCCCAUAAGGCUCCUUACAAAACAUUUUCUCCAUCUUAUCUACCCUCAGUAUUUUGAUAGCAUCUUUAGAAGCUUCACUCUUCAGCUCUAUUACUCCAUCCUUGCUUCUGAAUUGAACACACCCUUGUGUAGAAUCAAAGGUAAUUAGUCCAAAUUGACUCAUCCAAUUUACUCCUAACACCACAUCGUUUCUAGCCAACCUAAAGUUCUAAAUUCGAAUUGAAAUUCCCAGGACCACAUCUUCCAUACCACUGGUUGGCUUAAGGCAUUACUUUCCAGUUUAUCCCCAUUAGCCACUCUAACUAUCACUUCACUAUUUUCGUUAAUGAUAUAUCUCAGUUCUUUGGCUAAUUUCUCAUCAACAAAACUGUGUGUACUUCUACGAUCAAUAAGUAUGGAGACUUUCCUACCUUUGAUCACUCCAGGAACUCUAAUGGUCUUGUGUUGCCACCUCCCAGCCAAUUCAUUAAUGGCUAUCUCUAUGAUCUUUUCACCUCCUG